rnacentral:misc_RNA from 1 species
UUUCCGUAGGUGAAUCUGCGGAAGGAUCAUUAUUGUAUAACCGAGGUGCGAGGGCUGUCGCUGACCCGAAAGGUCGUGCACGCUCGAGUGCCCUCACACACAUCCAUCUCACCCCUAUGUGCACCACCGCGUGGGUCCCCCUUUGGCUUGUUCGGAGGGGGGCUUACGUUUUCACACAAACUUUGUAUGCAGUGUAGAAUGUAUUUUUUGUUUUUGCGAUCACGCAAUCAAUACAACUUUCAACAACGGAUCUCUUGGCUCUC